UAUCAGUUCCCCCCGUCCUCUGCCCCCGAUUCUCGUUACGGGACGAAAGAAAAAGUGCAUACCGAGGGUCAACAAGAACAAAGAAACCUCGAACGCGACCAGCGGAAGAACCAAGAUGAGAAAACUGCCUGGAGAUGUGCUAAAUACUGGACAAAUAACUGCAAAGCAGCAGUUCUCACGAAGCACGGAAAAGUCGUCAAGACAACACAAGAGCACAACCAUCCACCUGAUAGCAGCCAACUUCGGGAAGCGCGACUGAA